UUCUCCGAUUCUGCUGCAAUUCUCUCCAAAUCUUCUCUCAACUUUCUUCUUCACCUCACCGCUUCUAUGCCCUCCACCUCUCUCUACCUUUAUCUCUCCUAUUUCUGUUUUCCCCUCAAUCAAGUUGACUGUAUGCCUAAUUACAUAAAAAGAUACUAGUAUUAAUUUGACAAGCAAGAAAUGUCGGAUUUGGGGGAAGAAUUUAUCAUAGAAAGCUACAAAGUUGCGUGGCUAAUUUGGAUCCAACUUGUAGUGAUGUUUCUUCUCAUCAUUCUCCUCUUCUUUGGCUUCAGCGCAUUUACUUUUGAACCUUCCAGUUCCUCAACCGCUUCGCCGUCCACUGCCGCCGCCGCCGCACCGCCGCCUCAUCUCAAUAAUCCCAGUUCAUCUCGUAGGAGAGAUAAGGCAGAAGUUCGGAGGACUACAAGGGAUAGAGCAAGCAUUGCAGAAUUUACCAGAGAAGUCCAAAAUGGGGAGGAGUCUUCUUCUAAGGAUUCUUCAUUUCUCAGAAUCUUCAGAAAUCCUAACCACCCUUGCAACUAUUUUGAUGUAGCAAAACGAGCAGUUCUCAAGUGUUUAGGCUUGGACUCUAGCUCCGAGCCCUCCAGGAGGAGCGAUCAGCAUGAUAAACAAGAGUAAUGCAUGUACAUUUUUGGCGAUCAUCCAUAAUGGUGAUAAGAUUAGGAGCAGCGCAUAGUUCAGUAGGCCCUCCCCACGAACUUGUGAUUAGACGGUGUAUAUAGGCAGCCUCAUUGUACUCAACUGUAACUCAAUACGGUAAUGCUAAACUCCAAUUCUUUUGCAUAUAAUUGAGCAGCAAAAGUCUUCGGUUUUGUU